GUGUGGGCUGUUUGGGCCUUUGUGUACUUGAAAUGACAGGUCUUUUUAUAAAUCCCACUCCAGGCCUGCCACAGCUACAGGGGUCAUGACUGAAGCAGAAAAAAAGGCUUGGUUCCUACACAUGCAUAGACUGUCCUGGACAUAAGGGAACUCAUACAGUUUUGUUUUUAGACAUAUAUACGCAUUUACUCUGGACAACCAAUAUGGAAUGCAGGUGGUAAAACUAUCGGGGAUUCUAAAAAAUUCGAUUUAUAGUUUAGUUUAUCAGAGGGGGCCCCAGGUUAAUACUGGGCAGUAGCUGGAAAUGUGUCUUCAAAAUUGUGAUCCCACAUGCAUUAUCCUGAACCAGGCAGGCCUGGACACUUUCUGGUCUAGUUAGGUGUAUUGUAAUUAACUAUAUCCUGCAGGGCUCUAUUUUCUUAAUUCUUACUUUUUUGGUUAUGUUGUCUGCUUUUGUCUUUAAGGUUUCUUCAGGUAAAGAACCCCUGGAGCCCUUUACAAUGGAAAGGAAGAUUCUGUGUGAAAGAUGAAAGAAGCUGGACUCUAGAAAUCCUAAACGUUGAUACCAGGACAGCACAGAAAAUUGACAAUGGUAAUAUAGGCAGGGCCAGGCCAAGCCAGCCAGCCCCCUCGCACCCCCUGCACACAUGUACAACCACAGGCACGCGCACGCACAAGAGCACAUUGCCGGCAAGAGAGGACAAGGGUCAUGACUAGGGGUAUUUUCUGGAUAACAUGGGAAGAUCUACGAGUGGGAUCUACUUGAGUGGAAACCAAAGUCUUUUGAAGAAUCCACCUGCAUACACAGUUGUUCAGAAGCACGUUAUAACCUCCAGAAAAUCGAAAUCCUUCCCAGCCUGUCGCCAUUUCCGAUUUUAAAGAGCCUAUUACCCAGCAUUCUAUGAGGUGUGUUAUGGUGUCACUUGGGACUGGCUAACUGCAUGGCCAGUUAAUGUUAUUCUGUGUAGUGAAGACACAUUACAGCAUAUGCAGACAGAUACAAUAAAUUCAUGAUUGCAUAGAUAUUUCCUUUAAGCACAAUUACUUGGGAAAAUAUGAAGGGACAGCAGCAGAAUGUCAGGAGCGCCCGUCUCCAGGGGCAUCGCAUCCAAGAUGGUGGUGCCCAUGACCCACGUGGGACAACCAUGGAGCUCGUAUAGGCAGUACAGUGUUGGCUUUGAAGUCAUUACAGUGUUGACUACAGGAGACCCUGGGCCCUCUGGUUUCCAGAAAAAGAGCAGCGGUGAUUACAGGUGUGGUUUCUGCUACAUGGAACUGGAGAAUAUCCCGGCUGGUGUCUAUAACAUUAUAACUACUACAUUUCUGCCUGCCCAGGAGGGACCCUUCUUUUUAGACUUCAACACCGCAUUAGCCAUUAAGGUGACCCAACUCCAGUGACCCGGGAAUUAAAAUCCGUUCUUCCAAGUGACAAAGAUUUGCAAGCAGAUUCCCAGUUCAAAGAGGCAUGAAAGAUCCUGCAUUUCCCUGAUGUGACAUUGUGCAUCUCCAGUACGGCUCACAGUCUUGUACAAUCAGAAUCUUCAAGGGAGUUGGGUACCACAGACAGCCCAAAUGUAACUUGUACUUGAAUCUUGUUUCAAAGGAUAGUGCUAUAAAACAUAUUUUUUCAA